rnacentral:sRNA from 1 species
UUAGAUUUUGAUCCAACAAUAUCGACGGAGGAAGACGCAUCACCGGAGAAUCGAUGUCUGCCGAAAUGGAUGACCCGGCCAGAGAUGGUUUUUCCAGAGUCGACAGAGCCAAUUGAAUUUAUACACCAAAAAAUGGUAAAAAAA